rnacentral:rRNA from 1 species
UGGGGGACGAGGAAGGACGGUACCCUAGGAAUAAGUCACGGCUAACUACGUGCCAGCAGCCGCGGUAAAACGUAGGUGGCGAGCGUUAUCCGGAUUUACUGGGCGUAAAGCGCGCGUAGGUGGUUGAGUAAGUUGGGUGUAAAAUCUCUUGGCUUAACUGGGAGGAGACGCUCAAGACUGCUCGGCUUGAGGUCGAGAGAGGGGUGCAGAAUUCCCGGUGUAGUGGUGGAAUGCGUAGAUAUCGGGAGGAAUACCAGUGGCGAAAGCGGCGCCCUGGCUCGCACCUGACACUGAGGCGCGAAAGCGUGGGGAGCGAACGGGAUUAGAUACCCCGGUAGUCCACGCUGUAAACGAUGUGAACUGGGUGUUGGCGGUAUGAAUUCCGUCGGUGCCGUAGCAA